GUUCUGUAGGUGAGAAAGUCCUCUUGGUGCUAGGGGGCAGUAUUUUCACGGCCGGAUGAAAAACGUACCCAAUUUAAACAGGUUACUACUCUGGCCCAGAAAAUAGAAUAUGCAUAUUAUUAGUUGAUUUGGAUAGAAAACACUCUGAAGUUUCUAAAACUGUUUGAAUGGUGUCUGUGAGUAUAACAGAACUCAUAUGGCAGGCAAAAACCUUAGAAAAAUUGAAUCAGGAAGUGGGAGAAAUUAGAAAUGUAGUUUAUCUUUUGAAUCCCUUGAAAAACUACAGUGACAUAGGAUUUACGUUGCACCUCCUAAGGCUUCCAUUGGCUUUCAACAAUCUUCAGGAACUGGUUUCAUCCGUCACCUGUUACCGGGCAGAAAAUUGUGGCUCAGUCAAUCACUGGCCAGUCUGAGGACAGGUGUCUCGUGACGCGCAUGCACGUGACUUUGUUGUUUGUUAUUUUUCUUCUGGGAUGAAUACCUAUUGCCCGGUUGUAAAAUUAUCGCAAUUUUACGUUAAAAAAUACCCUAAAGGAUUGAUUGUAAACAUUGUUUGACAUGUUUCUACAAACGGUGAACUUUUGAACAUUUCGUCUAUGGAUUUGCGUCCACGCCACAUGGCAUCGUAAAGUGUUCUGGAUGGGUCAAAAAAUUGGACGUAUUUGGACAUAAAUGAUGGACUUUGCAGAACAAAUGAACAUUUCUGGUGGAAGUGGGACCCCUUCCGAGUGCAUUCCGCCGAAGAUCAGCAAAGGUAAGAAAAUAUUUCCAACAUAUUUUUAGAGAUUUGUCGACAGGCUAACUGUAUAACUUAGCAUUGAAGGCUAAGUUCUGUACUCAGAAUAUUGAACAAUGUGCUUUUUCCGUAAAGUUAUUUUGAAAUCUGACAAAGUGGUUGCAUAAAGGAGUAGAUUAUCUCUAAUUCUUUAAAUAAUUGUUAUACAUUUUGUCAACGUUUAUGAGUUCUUCUGUAAAUUAAAUAUGCCUAUUCACCGGAGGUUAUGGGGAGAAAACAUUUUCUGAACGUCACGCACCAAUGUAGAAAUUGGGUUUUUGGAUAUAAAUAUGAACUUAAUCGAACAAAAAAUGCAUGUAUUGUCUAAAAUGAUGUCCUAGGAGUGUCAUCUGAUGAAGAUUGUCAAAGGUUAGUGCUUCAUUUUAGCUGUAUAUCUGGUUUUGUGACGGCUAUCCAUGCUUGGAAAAUAGCUUUUUUUUGUUGCUAAGGUGCUAUCCUAAAAUAAUCUGUUUUGCUUUCACCGUAAAGCCUUUUUGAAAUCAGACAAUGUGAUUGGAUUAACGAGUAGAGUAUCUUUAAAAUGCUGUAUAAUACUUGAAUUGUAAUUUUGAGAUUUUUUUUUUUGAAUUUCGCGCCGUGCUCUCACUGGUUGUUGUCCAACCAAUCCCGUUAACGGGAUUUUAUCUCGAAGGGUUCCUCAAGCUCAUCACUGAUUGCAUCUCAGAGGGGGCUCACCAUUUGGAUUUGAGAGAGACCAAUGAUGCUGAUCGGGCAUCUGUUAUAAAGGCCUAUAUGAUGGAGUCAGAUACCAUCGCCCAGUGGGCGAAAAUGGAGAGGGAGAGAUACUGAUGAAAUGCCUUCGACAUGGAUUGUAAUGAUCGAGUGACAGA
rnacentral:lncRNA from 1 species